rnacentral:rRNA from 1 species
AUUGAACGCUGGCGGCAGGCCUAACACAUGCAAGUCGAAUGGUAACAGGAAACCGCUUGCUGUUUCGCUGACGAGUGGCGGACGGGUGAGUAAUGUCUGGGAAACUGCCUGAUGGAGGGGGAUAACUACUGGAAACGGUAGCUAAUACCGCAUAACGUCGCAAGACCAAAGAGGGGGACCUUCGGGCCUCUUGCCAUCAGAUGUGCCCAGAUGGGAAUAGCUAGUAGGUGGGGUAACGGCUCACCUAGGCGACGAUCCCUAGCUGGUCUGAGAGGAUGACCAGCCACACUGGAACUGAGACACGGUCCAGACUCCUACGGGAGGCAGCAGUGGGGAAUAUUGCACAAUGGGCGCAAGCCUGAUGCAGCCAUGCCGCGUGUAUGAAGAAGGCCUUCGGGUUGUAAAGUACUUUCAGCGGGGAGGAAGGGAGUAAAGUUAAUACCUUGGCUCAUUGACGUUACCCGCAGAAGAAGCACCGGCUAACUCCGUG